rnacentral:rRNA from 1 species
UCCGUAGGUGAACCUGCGGAAGGAUCAUUACCGAGUUGAUUCGGGCUCCGGCCCGAUCCUCCCACCCUUUGUGUACCUACCUCUGUUGCUUUGGCGGGCCGCGGUUCUCCGCGGCCGCCCCCCUCCCCGGGGGGUGGCCAGCGCCCGCCAGAGGACCAUCAAACUCCAGUCAGUAAACGAUGCAGUCUGAAAAACAUUUAAUAAACUAAAACUUUCAACAACGGAUCUCUUGGUUCUGGCAUCGAUGAAGAACGCAGCGAAAUGCGAUAAGUAAUGUGAAUUGCAGAAUUCAGUGAAUCAUCGAAUCUUUGAACGCACAUUGCGCCCUUUGGUAUUCCGAAGGGCAUGCCUGUUCGAGCGUCAUUACAACCCUCAAGCUCUGCUUGGUAUUGGGCACCGUCCUUUGCGGGCGCGCCUCAAAGACCUCGGCGGUGGCGUCUUGCCUCAAGCGUAGUAGAACAUACAUCUCGCUUCGGAGCGCAGGGCGUCGCCCGCCGGACGAACCUUCUGAACUUUUCUCAAGGUUGACCUCGGAUCAGGUAGGGAUACCCGCUGAACUUAAGCAGCAUAUCAAUAAGCGGAGGA